rnacentral:rRNA from 1 species
AUUGAACGCUGGCGGCAUGCCUUACACAUGCAAGUCGAACGGCAGCACGGGAGCAAUCCUGGUGGCGAGUGGCGAACGGGUGAGUAAAGUAUCGGAACGUGCCCAGUCGUGGGGGAUAACGUAGCGAAAGUUACGCUAAUACCGCAUACGAUCUAUGGAUGAAAGAGGGGGAUCGCAAGACCUCGCGCGAUUGGAGCGGCCGAUAUCAGAUUAGGUAGUUGGUGUGGUAAAGGACCAACAAGCCGACGAUCUGUAGAUGGUCUGACGGGACGACCAGCCACACUGGGAAUGAGACACGGCCCAGACUCCUACGGGAGGCGGCAGUGGGGAAUUUUGGACAAUGGGCGAAAGCCUGAUCCAGCCAUGCCGCGUGCAGGAUGAAGGCCUUCGGGUUGUAAACUGCUUUUGUACGGAACGAAAAGGACUGCCCUAAUACGGUGGUCCCAUGACGGUACCGUAAGAAUAAGCACCGGCUAACUACGUGCCAGCAGCCGCAGUAA